rnacentral:rRNA from 1 species
AGAGUUUGAUCCUGGCUCAGGACGAACGCUGGCGGCGUGCCUAACACAUGCAAGUCGAACGGAACUUUUUUGAAAGAUUCUUUCGGGAUGAUUUUGAUUAAGUUUAGUGGCGGACGGGUGAGUAACGCGUGAGUAACCUGCCUUUGAGAGGGGAAUAACAAUCUGAAAAGAUUGCUAAUACCGCAUAACAUAUAUGAAUCGCAUGGUUUGUAUAUCAAAGAUUUUAUCGCUCAAAGAUGGACUCGCGUCCGAUUAGUUAGUUGGUGAGGUAACGGCUCACCAAGACCACGAUCGGUAGCCGGACUAAGAGGUUGAACGGCCACAUUGGGACUGAGACACGGCCCAGACUCCUACGGGAGGCAGCAGUGGGGGAUAUUGCGCAAUGGGGGCAACCCUGACGCAGCAACGCCGCGUGAAGGAUGAAGGUUUUCGGAUUGUAAACUUCUUUUAUUAAGGACGAAAAAUGACGGUACUUAAUGAAUAAGCUCCGGCUAACUGCGUGCCAGCAGCCGCGGUAAUACGUAGGGAGCAAGCGUUGUCCGGAUUUACUGGGUGUAAAGGGUGCGUAGGCGGCUUUGCAAGUCAGAUGUGAAAUCUAUGGGCUCAACCCAUAAACUGCAUUUGAAACUGUAGAGCUUGAGUGAAGUAGAGGCAGGCGGAAUUCCCCGUGUAGCGGUGAAAUGCGUAGAGAUGGGGAGGAACACCAGUGGCGAAGGCGGCCUGCUGGGCUUUAACUGACGCUGAGGCACGAAAGCGUGGGUAGCAAACAGGAUUAGAUACCCUGGUAGUCCACGCUGUAAACGAUGAUUACUAGGUGUGGGGGGUCUGACCCCUUCCGUGCCGGAGUUAACACAAUAAGUAAUCCACCUGGGGAGUA